ACUGAGGGUGGCAAUGGACUCUGCCGGAUUUUGGUAACCAAAAUCGAACCGCCCUGUUGGCUGAUGAUUCCUACCCCGCA
rnacentral:ncRNA from 2 species